UACGUAGGGUGCGAGCGUUAAUCGGAAUUACUGGGCGUAAAGCGUGCGCAGGCGGUUCGUUAAGUCUGAUGUGAAAGCCCCGGGCUCAACCUGGGAAUGGCAUUGGAUACUGGCGGGCUGGAGUGUGGCAGAGGGGGGUGGAAUUCCGCGUGUAGCAGUGAAAUGCGUAGAGAUGCGGAGGAACACCCGUGGCGAAGGCGGCCAUCUGGACCAGUACUGACGCUGAGGCACGAAAGCGUGGGGAGCAAAC
rnacentral:rRNA from 1 species